AUACGGAGGGUGCAAGCGUUAAUCGGAAUUACUGGGCGUAAAGCGCGCGUAGGCGGUUUGUUAAGCUAGAUGUGAAAGCCCAGGGCUCAACCUUGGAACUGCAUUUAGAACUGGCAGACUUGAGUACAGCAGAGGAUAGUGGAAUUUCUAGUGUAGCGGUGAAAUGCGUAGAUAUUAGAAGGAACACCAGUGGCGAAGGCGACUGUCUGGGCUGAUACUGACACUGAGGUGCGAAAGCGUGGGGAGCAAACAGGAUUAGAAACCCCAGUAGUCC
rnacentral:rRNA from 1 species